AUAACCCGGCGAAAGUCGGACUAAUACCGCAUGAAGCAGGGGCCCCGCAUGGGGAUAUUUGCUAAAGAUUCAUCGCUGAUAGACAGGCAUGCGUUCCAUUAGGCAGUUGGCGGGGUAACGGCCCACCAAACCGACGAUGGAUAGGGGUUCUGAGAGGAAGGUCCCCCACAUUGGUACUGAGACACGGACCAAACUCCUACGGGAGGCAGCAGUGAGGAAUAUUGGUCAAUGGGCGUAAGCCUGAACCAGCCAAGUCGCGUGAGGGAUGAAGGUUCUAUGGAUCGUAAACCUCUUUUAUAAGGGAAUAAAGUGUGGGACGUGUCCUGUUUUGUAUGUACCUUAUGAAUAAGGAUCGGCUAACUCCGUGCCAGCAGCCGCGGUAAUACGGAGGAUCCGAGCGUUAUCCGGAUUUAUUGGGUUUAAAGGGUGCGUAGGCGGCCUUUUAAGUCAGCGGUGAAAGUCUGUGGCUCAACCAUAGAAUUGCCGUUGAAACUGGGAGGCUUGAGUAUGUUUGAGGCAGGCGGAAUGCGUGGUGUAGCGGUGAAAUGCUUAGAUAUCACGCAGAACCCCGAUUGCGAAGGCAGCCUGCCAAGCCAUGACUGACGCUGAUGCACGAAAGCGUGGGGAUCAAACAGGAUUAGAUACCCUGGUAGUCCACGCAGU
rnacentral:rRNA from 1 species